GAUGAACGCUAGCUACAGGCUUAACACAUGCAAGUCGCGGGGCAGCAUGGGGGUUGCUUGCACUCCCCGAUGGCGACCGGCGCACGGGUGAGUAACGCGUAUCCAACCUGCCCUUCACCACGGGAUAACCCGGCGAAAGUCGGACUAAUACCGUAUGUUGUCCAUUGACGGCCUCCGAUUUGGACGAAGCGUUUGGCGGUGAAGGAUGGGGAUGCGUCCGAUUAGCUGGACGGCGGGGUGACGGCCCACCGUGGCGACGAUCGGUAGGGGUUCUGAGAGGAAGGUCCCCCACACUGGAACUGAGACACGGUCCAGACUCCUACGGGAGGCAGCAGUGAGGAAUAUUGAUCAAUGGGCGUAAGCCUGAACCAGCCAAGUAGCGUGCAGGAUGACGGCCCUAUGGGUUGUAAACUGCUUUUAUGCGGGGAUAAAGUGGCCCACGUGUGGGUUUUUGCAGGUACCGCAUGAAUAAGGACCGGCUAAUUCCGUG
rnacentral:rRNA from 1 species